rnacentral:rRNA from 1 species
UACGAAGGGAGCUAGCGUUGUUCGGAAUCACUGGGCGUAAAGCGCACGUAGGCGGAUGUGUCAGUCAGGGGUGAAAUCCCGGAGCUCAACUUCGGAACUGCCUUUGAUACAGCACGUCUUGAGUCCGGAAGAGGUGGGUGGAAUUCCUAGUGUAGAGGUGAAAUUCGUAGAUAUUGGGAAGAACACCGGUGGCGAAGGCGGCUCACUGGUCCGAUACUGACGCUGAGGUGCGAAAGCGUGGGGAGCAAACAGG